GCCUGGGUGGCUCAGUCGGUUGAGCGUCCGACUUCGGCUCAGGUCAUAAUCUCACGGUUCGUGAGUUCGAGCCCCACGUCGGGCU
rnacentral:tRNA from 1 species